rnacentral:rRNA from 1 species
UGCAGAAUCCCGUGAACCAUCGAGUUUUUGAACGCAAGUUGCGCCCGAAGCCAUUUGGUUAAGGGCACGUCUGCCUGGGCGUCACGC